GCAGCCCAAAGUUGUGGUCACCCACGGCGGGCGGUUCAGGACGGCGUCGCUGGGGUCUGUCGAGGAGCUGUUCAGACCUUGUUCCGGUUUCUUUCCAGUCAUGACCUUUCAUUGACCUUCUGGUAGAUCUCCAUAUGUGUUGCUUAUGGCACGGCCACAUCUCCCCCUCCUCGUCCUCGGCGGACCCGGCCGACAUACCGUUGUCGUCGCAGGACUCGGACUGGAAGGAGCUGAGGGACUGGACCUCGGACAU